rnacentral:rRNA from 1 species
GACGAACGCUGGCGGCGUGCUUAACACAUGCAAGUCGAGCGAGGUCCAACCGGUGGCAACACUGGGGAAGACCUAGCGGCGAACGGGUGAGUAACACGUGAGCAACCUGCCCCGAAGACUGGGAUAACACCGGGAAACCGGUGCUAAUACCGGAUGCCCUCACCGGGUCGCAUGACCUGGUGAGGAAAUGAAUUUUGCUUCGGGAGGGGCUCGCGGGCUAUCAGCUUGUUGGUGGGGUAACGGCNCACCAAGGCUACGACGGCUAGCUGGUCUGAGAGGACGAUCAGCCACACUGGGACUGAGACACGGCCCAGACUCCUACGGGAGGCAGCAGUGGGGAAUCUUGCGCAAUGGGCGAAAGCCUGACGCAGCAACGCCGCGU